UCAUUUUCUUCAAACUCAACAUUAUAAUCAUCAUACAUUUCCUCGGCCACCAUCAACGCCAGCUCAUUGCUAGUUCUGGCCUCACAAACCUUGCCUCGGCCUUCAAUGGUUGCCAGACAGCUCGAUUCGCCUUCUAGCAUUGGCUCGACUCCAUUUUUGCACUCCUCUCUUUCCAUUUCAACUUACAUUUCACAUACCCGAUCCAUCAAACACGAUUCCUACUCUUCCUCGCUAUUUUUCUGCCUCAGAUCACCAACUCCCUCCUCAUCCGCCAACAGAGACUCUGUCUGAUUCUCCGCUUCUCAUUCCUCUCUGUCUUAUUUUUCUUUCCUUCUCCUCUUUCAUCAACCCAUUUUUUAUUUUGGAUCAGGUCAGAUUCAAAAUUUGGGUUUUAGAUAACCGGCCUCCACUUUAAUCCAACUUUCGGAUCGGUUUGCUUGGGCUUGGAACAUCGAUCCAUUUUCCUUUCUCAAACUAGGAGAAACGACGGCCCACCCUCACACCCUUUCUAAAAUUCGGAAGCCUAGCUUUGCCUCUUCUUAAAUCCAUACUCCCAAAAUGGCUCCCGUUUUUUGCAUGUUGGGUAAGUCGAGCACCGGCCUGUGUUUGACCCAUUGAUCCAAAACGACAACCCUCCACUCCGUUUUGGCUUGAAACAGGUUCAACUUUAGGUACGGGUACUGUCUGCCCUACCCGACCAACCUUUGUCGCAGGCAUCUUGAGUAGCGACACGCCUUCACCUUCUCCUUUCUGCUCACCCUAACCUCCAUCUCUUCACCACAACACUGACAAGUAAUGGAUAUUAUCCCCUGGCAAAGCACAUGUACUGGUGCCUCCCCAUUACCUUGCUCUGCUUCCGCCCUUGUUUUCCCCUUCAACCAUUC
rnacentral:lncRNA from 1 species